rnacentral:rRNA from 1 species
GUGAGGAAUUUUGCGCAAUGGGGGAAACCCUGACGCAGCAACGCCGCGUGAGUGACGAAGGCCUUCGGGUCGUAAAGCUCUGUCGGGUGGGAAGAACCCGCGGAUGGCGAACACCCAUCCGCGCUGACGGUACCACCGGAGGAAGCACCGGCUAACUCCGUGCCAGCAGCCGCGGUAAUACGGAGGGUGCGAGCGUUAUUCGGAAUUAUUGGGCGUAAAGAGCGCGUAGGCGGUUGUCUAAGUCGGAUGUGAAAGCCCGGGGCCCAACCCCGGAAGGGCAUCCGAUACUGGACGGCUUGAGUAUGGGAGAGGGAAGCGGAAUUCCUGGUGUAGAGGUGAAAUUCGUAGAUAUCAGGAGGAACACCGGUGGCGAAGGCGGCUUCCUGGACCAAUACUGACGCUGAGGCGCGAAGGCGUGGGGAGCAAACAGGAUUAGAAACCCGAGUAGUCC